rnacentral:pre_miRNA from 1 species
AAAGGUGAAGCUGCCAGCAUGAUCUAGCUUUGGUUAGAGCGACAGAGAGAGCUGCUAACCCUAGCUAGGUCAUGCUCUGACAGCCUCACUCCUUC